CGGCAGCAGCUCGCGGACAUCAGACGGCAUUACCGGACGUGUCGGCGGAUUUCCCGGGCCCGGUGAGGCCUGUCCCGGUGAGGCGGCGUGUUUCCAGCGGGGACUCUCCGGCCUGCUGCUCCCCGACAUCAGCGGCUGCUCGCCGGGGAUGAAUCAUCGCCUCCGCCGGGGAGGCUCCGGGAUGCUGUCACCGUCACUGCGCCGCUGAAACCGGCCGCAGCCUCCCGCUCCUCCCGCGGCAGGGCCCCGGACCAGGACCCGGACCCGGACCCGGACCAGGACCCAGACCCCCGCUCCAGCCGCGUCCCCCGCAGCCAGCAUGGAGGAAAUCCUGCGCAAACUGCAGAAAGACGCGUCCGGACACAAACACAAAGCCAUCCGCGACGCGUGCGUGUUCGCCUGCGAAACUCUGGACUCUCAGAAUGGAUCGGCCCACAUUUCCCCUUCACAGCUCCGGGAGCGCUGCCUGCUGCCUCUACAGAUGGCUCUGGAGUCCAAAAACACCAAGCUGGGA
rnacentral:lncRNA from 1 species